UACAGAGGUCUCAAGCGUUGUUCGGAUUCAUUGGGCGUAAAGCGCGCGUAGGCGGCUACCUAAGUCGGAUGUGAAAGCCCCUGGCUUAACCGGGGAAGUGCACCCGAAACUGGGUAGCUAGAGUGCAAAAGAGGGUCGCGGAAUUCCCAGUGUAGAGGUGAAAUUCGUAGAUAUUGGGAGGAACACCGGUGGCGAAGGCGGCGACCUGGGUUGACACUGACGCUGAGGCGCGAAAGCGUGGGGAGCAAACAGG
rnacentral:rRNA from 1 species